GAAGUACUCCUUCUUCAUGUGCAUCUCCAGCUCCUUCUCCAGCUCCAGCGUCAGCGCCUCCAGCCUCCUCUCUGCCUGGCUGGGGCCGCUCUCCCGGCUCGGCGUCACCUGGGUGUGGAGAGCAUAUCCUGAGGGGCUCUGCCUGUGUGCUUGCGGAAGGAAGGAUUCUGAGCAGCUGUUUGUAGGAGCCAAACAGUGGGAACUGCAGAGCUGAUGCUGUGUGAAGUCAGAAGCAUAAGCUCAAGUGGAGGAGCUUGUUGUCCUCCCAUAGCUCUGUCUUCUGAGCCACAAAUCAGCCCUCGUUCUGCCUCCAGCACAGUCUGAUGCUGCUGCUGCCAGCAGGUUGCAAGUUCCUACAGUAAGCCUCUCGCGAGAAAACAAUGAAAUCAUACUCUGAAAUCCACAAGUCUCAUAGGUUGUCCUGUUCUCUAAUCCUCUUUGACACGCCUGGUGAACAGGAGAAAGUGAGUAUUACAGCUAGUCCACAAUGACACUUGUGCUGACUGACUACCUACUGCCAAACAGAUCUGUAACAUCAAACAGACAUGUUUCAAGUGAUGUCAGUCUGGUUGUCUCUCCUAUCAAGCAGCCAAUU